rnacentral:rRNA from 1 species
GAUGAACGCUAGCGGCAGGCUUAAUACAUGCAAGUCAAGGGGGUAGCAAUACAACCGGCGCACGGGUGAGUAACGCGUACACAACAUACCAUAUACUGGAGUAUAGCUUUGGGAAACUGAAGGUAAUCCUCCAUAACAUUGCGAGAGGGCAUCUGAUUGCAAUUAAAGUUUCGGCGGUAUAUGAUUGGUGUGCGUUUGAUUAGCUAGUUGGUAGGGUAACGGCCUACCAAGGCGACGAUCAAUAGCUGGCGUGAGAGCGCGACCAGCCACACUGGAACUGAGACACGGUCCAGACUCCUACGGGGAGGCAGCAGUAGGGAAUAUUGGACAAUGGAGGAAACUCUGAUCCAGCCAUGCCGCGUGAUAGAUGAAGGCCCUCUGGGUUGUAAAUAUCUUUUAUCUGGGAAGAAACACUCCUAUUCUUAGGAACUUGACGGUACCAGAGGAAUAAGCACCGGCUAACUCCGUGCCAGCAGCCG